UCACAGGCUGAGGAAGAUCUUUCUGUGCCGUCUGGGGGAGAGAAGAUGUGGUUAAAGUCAAGCUGUUCACUCCAGCGAGUCUAAAUUCUUACUUGGUUUUGCUCCAGCAGUGUGCUGGAACUUCUCCUCUAGAAACCUGGACUCACAAAGGCUCUCUCAUCCUGUCUCCUGUUGGUGGAAACUACCAGGCACCCAGCUGUGAAAAGAGAAAUUUUGUUUCCAGAGUCUAAUCUCAGCAUCAGAGAACAAAUUACAGGAGGUAUGGAUAUGGAGCUGAAAGACGACAGGUGCGCUUGGAUCGGACUGGAAUACGUAUGAAGGAUGCCCCUCCCCGCCACCAGCUCCC